rnacentral:rRNA from 1 species
UAAGCGACUAAGCGUACACGGUGGAUGCCCUGGCAGUCAGAGGCGAUGAAGGACGUGCUAAUCUGCGAUAAGCGUCGGUAAGGUGAUAUGAACCGUUAUAACCGGCGAUUUCCGAAUGGGGAAACCCAGUGUGAUUCGUCACACUAUCAUUAACUGAAUCCAUAGGUUAAUGAGGCGAACGGGGGACUGAAACAUCUAAGUACCCCGAGGAAAAGAAAUCAACCGAGAUUCCCCCAGUAGCGGCGAGCGAACGGGGAGCAGCCCAGAGCCUGAAUCAGUAUGUGUGUUAGUGGAAGCGUCUGGAAAGGCGCGCGAUACAGGGUGACAGCCCCGUACACAAAAAUGCACAUGCUGUGAGCUCGAUGAGUAGGGCGGGACACGUGGUAUCCUGUCUGAAUAUGGGGGGACCAUCCUCCAAGGCUAAAUACUCCUGACUGACCGAUAGUGAACCAGUACCGUGAGGGAAAGGCGAAAAGAACCCCGGCGAGGGGAGUGAAAAAGAACCUGAAACCGUGUACGUACAAGCAGUGGGAGCACGCUUAGGCGUGUGACUGCGUACCUUUUGUAUAAUGGGUCAGCGACUUAUAUUCUGUAGCAAGGUUAACCGAAUAGGGGAGCCGAAGGGAAACCGAGUCUUAACUGGGCGUUAAGUUGCAGGGUAUAGACCCGAAACCCGGUGAUCUAGCCAUGGGCAGGUUGAAGGUUGGGUAACACUAACUGGAGGACCGAACCGACUAAUGUUGAAAAAUUAGCGGAUGACUUGUGGCUGGGGGUGAAAGGCCAAUCAAACCGGGAGAUAGCUGGUUCUCCCCGAAAGCUAUUUAGGUAGCGCCUCGUGAAUUCAUCUCCGGGGGUAGAGCACUGUUUCGGCAAGGGGGUCAUCCCGACUUACCAACCCGAUGCAAACUGCGAAUACCGGAGAAUGUUAUCACGGGAGACACACGGCGGGUGCUAACGUCCGUCGUGAAGAGGGAAACAACCCAGACCGCCAGCUAAGGUCCCAAAGUCAUGGUUAAGUGGGAAACGAUGUGGGAAGGCCCAGACAGCCAGGAUGUUGGCUUAGAAGCAGCCAUCAUUUAAAGAAAGCGUAAUAGCUCACUGGUCGAGUCGGCCUGCGCGGAAGAUGUAACGGGGCUAAACCAUGCACCGAAGCUGCGGCAGCGACGCUUAUGCGUUGUUGGGUAGGGGAGCGUUCUGUAAGCCUGUGAAGGUGUGCUGUGAGGCAUGCUGGAGGUAUCAGAAGUGCGAAUGCUGACAUAAGUAACGAUAAAGCGGGUGAAAAGCCCGCUCGCCGGAAGACCAAGGGUUCCUGUCCAACGUUAAUCGGGGCAGGGUGAGUCGACCCCUAAGGCGAGGCCGAAAGGCGUAGUCGAUGGGAAACAGGUUAAUAUUCCUGUACUUGGUGUUACUGCGAAGGGGGGACGGAGAAGGCUAUGUUGGCCGGGCGACGGUUGUCCCGGUUUAAGCGUGUAGGCUGGUUUUCCAGGCAAAUCCGGAAAAUCAAGGCUGAGGCGUGAUGACGAGGCACUACGGUGCUGAAGCAACAAAUGCCCUGCUUCCAGGAAAAGCCUCUAAGCAUCAGGUAACAUCAAAUCGUACCCCAAACCGACACAGGUGGUCAGGUAGAGAAUACCAAGGCGCUUGAGAGAACUCGGGUGAAGGAACUAGGCAAAAUGGUGCCGUAACUUCGGGAGAAGGCACGCUGAUAUGUAGGUGAAGUCCCUCGCGGAUGGAGCUGAAAUCAGUCGAAGAUACCAGCUGGCUGCAACUGUUUAUUAAAAACACAGCACUGUGCAAACACGAAAGUGGACGUAUACGGUGUGACGCCUGCCCGGUGCCGGAAGGUUAAUUGAUGGGGUCAGCGCAAGCGAAGCUCUUGAUCGAAGCCCCGGUAAACGGCGGCCGUAACUAUAACGGUCCUAAGGUAGCGAAAUUCCUUGUCGGGUAAGUUCCGACCUGCACGAAUGGCGUAAUGAUGGCCAGGCUGUCUCCACCCGAGACUCAGUGAAAUUGAACUCGCUGUGAAGAUGCAGUGUACCCGCGGCAAGACGGAAAGACCCCGUGAACCUUUACUAUAGCUUGACACUGAACAUUGAGCCUUGAUGUGUAGGAUAGGUGGGAGGCUUGGAAGUGUGGACGCCAGUCUGCAUGGAGCCGACCUUGAAAUACCACCCUUUAAUGUUUGAUGUUCUAACGUUGACCCGUAAUCCGGGUUGCGGACAGUGUCUGGUGGGUAGUUUGACUGGGGCGGUCUCCUCCUAAAGAGUAACGGAGGAGCACGAAGGUUGGCUAAUCCUGGUCGGACAUCAGGAGGUUAGUGCAAUGGCAUAAGCCAGCUUGACUGCGAGCGUGACGGCGCGAGCAGGUGCGAAAGCAGGUCAUAGUGAUCCGGUGGUUCUGAAUGGAAGGGCCAUCGCUCAACGGAUAAAAGGUACUCCGGGGAUAACAGGCUGAUACCGCCCAAGAGUUCAUAUCGACGGCGGUGUUUGGCACCUCGAUGUCGGCUCAUCACAUCCUGGGGCUGAAGUAGGUCCCAAGGGUAUGGCUGUUCGCCAUUUAAAGUGGUACGCGAGCUGGGUUUAGAACGUCGUGAGACAGUUCGGUCCCUAUCUGCCGUGGGCGCUGGAGAACUGAGGGGGGCUGCUCCUAGUACGAGAGGACCGGAGUGGACGCAUCACUGGUGUUCGGGUUGUCAUGCCAAUGGCACUGCCCGGUAGCUAAAUGCGGAAGAGAUAAGUGCUGAAAGCAUCUAAGCACGAAACUUGCCCCGAGAUGAGUUCUCCCUGACUCCUUGAGAGUCCUGAAGGAACGUUGAAGACGACGACGUUGAUAGGCCGGGUGUGUAAGCGCAGCGAUGCGUUGAGCUAACCGGUACUAAUGAACCGUGAGGCUUAACCU